UGGGGAAUAUUGCACAAUGGGGGAAACCCUGAUGCAGCGACGCCGCGUGAACGAAGAAGGUAUUCGUAUCGUAAAGUUCUGUCCUAUGGGAAGAUAAUGACAGUACCAUAGAAGAAAGCCCCGGCUUAAUACGUGCCAGCAGCCGCGGUAAUACGUAUGGAGCGAGCGUUGUCCGGAAUUAUUGGGCGUAAAGGGUACGCAGGCGGUUUAAUAAGUCGAAUGUUAAAGAUCGGGGCUCAACCCCGUAAAGCAGUGGAAACUGAUAAGCUUGAGUAGUGGAGAGGCAAGUGGAAUUCCUAGUGUAGUGGUGAAAUACGUAGAUAUUAGGAGGAAUACCAGUAGCGAAAGCGACUUUCUGGGCACAAACUGACGCUGAGGUACGAAAGCGUGGGGAGCAAACAGG
rnacentral:rRNA from 1 species